AAGUCGUAACAAGGUUUCCGUAGGUGAACCUGCGGAAGGAUCAUUAAAAAAAAUUGUAAUUUUUUUUACAUUCUACCCACUUUGUGAUAAAAUUGGCUAUAUAACUUGGGAUUAAAAAUGGUUUAAUAAAGUCAAAUUUGUUAAAACGGCCCCAAAACUAUUCAAAAACUCGCUUUAAUCUUUGACUGAAAUAUAUAAUUUUUAUAUAAUUAUCUAAUGAUAAUCAUACAAAACUUUCAACAACGGAUCUCUUGGUUCUC
rnacentral:misc_RNA from 1 species